AUUGAACGCUGGCGGCAGGCCUAACACAUGCAAGUCGAACGGUAACAGGAAGAAGCUUGCUUCUUUGCUGACGAGUGGCGGACGGGUGAGUAAUGUCUGGGAAACUGCCUGAUGGAGGGGGAUAACUACUGGAAACGGUAGCUAAUACCGCAUAACGUCGCAAGACCAAAGAGGGGGACCUUCGGGCCUCUUGCCAUCGGAUGUGCCCAGAUGGGAUUAGCUAGUAGGUGGGGUAACGGCUCACCUAGGCGACGAUCCCUAGCUGGUCUGAGAGGAUGACCAGCCACACUGGAACUGAGACACGGUCCAGACUCCUACGGGAGGCAGCAGUGGGGAAUAUUGCACAAUGGGCGCAAGCCUGAUGCAGCCAUGCCGCGUGUAUGAAGAAGGCCUUCGGGUUGUAAAGUACUUUCAGCGGGGAGGAAGGGAGUAAAGUUAAGACCUUUGCUCAUUGACGUUACCCGCAGAAGAAGCACCGGCGAACUCCGU
rnacentral:rRNA from 1 species